UUGAGGCGCGAAAAGGCGUGGGGAGCAAACAGGGAUUAGGAUACCCUGGUANGUCCACGCCGUAAACCGAUGAGUGCUAAAGUGUUAAGAGGGUUUCCGCCCUUUANGUGCUGCAGCUAACGCAUUAAAGCACUCCGCCUGGGGAGUACGGCNGCAAGGCUGAAACUCAAAGGAAUUGACGGGGGCCCGCACAAGCGGUGGAGCAUGUGGUUUAAUUCGAAGCAACGCGAAGAACCUUACCAGGUCUUGACAUCCUCUGACACUCCUAGAGAUAGGGACUUUCCCCUUCGGGGGACAGAGUGACANGGUGGUGCAUGGUUGUCGUCANGCUCGUGUCGUGANNAUGUUGGGUUAAGUCCCGCAACGAGGCGCAACCCUUGAUCUUAGUUGCCA
rnacentral:rRNA from 1 species